GCCCAUAUAGUUAAACGGAUAUAACAAGCCCCUCCUAAGGGCUAGUUCGUGGUUCGAUUCCGCGUAUGGCGUCCCA
rnacentral:tRNA from 1 species